CGUGUAGGCUGUUGGGUAAGUCUGGUGUGAAAUGCUACGGCUCAACCGUGGCACUGUGCUGGAAACUGCCUGACUGGAGUGCAGGAGGGGUCACUGGAAUCCCCGGUGUAACGGUGAAAUGUGUAGAUAUCGGGGGGAACACCUGUGGCGAAGGCGGGUGACUGGCCUGCAACUGACGCUGAGACGCGAAAGCGUGGGGAGCAAACA
rnacentral:rRNA from 1 species